AGUUCUGCUGCACCGCCUUCUCAUAGGGAAGCCUCUCGGGCGUCAGGAAGCUGGAGAGUGUCACCGAGCAGCUGUCCCCGAAGAGCCUGGGCAGGAGCAGCUGAUGGGCGCAUGCUCGAAGCCGCCCCUGUCCCACCCGUGAGCCAGCGGAUGGCUGGGGAAACGCUCUCCCUUGGCUAAGGCCGUGAGGACUGCCUGGCAGCUCAGCAGCACAGACCAACCUCUACCGUUCGCUCCCCAGCCCCUGGCCUGGCAGUGGCGGGAACUUUGUUCCGCGGCCCGGUUGGCCACGGCCUGGGUUUCCCUCCGGAAGGGAAGGGGAGAGCGCGCGGGUGUGGUAGGCCAAGGACCACACCUGCCGCGAAGGUUACAGUCGGUGAAGUAGAUCGGGGACACGAACUUCUCCACCCGCUCGAAAGUGGUGCGCCAGUGCUUCAAGAACGGCGCUGCCGCCAUGGCGAUGCGCCUUCCCUCCCCGGAAGAUCCUUGGUGCUGCCGGCUCGUUGCACCGCUUGGAACCAAAGGUUCCGGCAUCCAACCAGCUUACAGACCCGAGCAGCUUUUCUGGGAACACCACGGCUUUUGCAAGAGGCUGGCUCUGGGGAGCCUCCCAGUGAAACCCGGAAGCUGAGCCUUCGCGGUUCUCACCUCAGCCUUGCUGUCAGACAGCUGGGUAAAUUAUUUUUAAAUACAAUGGAGUCUGGAAGAAAAUAAUACAGGAGGAAUCUAACUAGCCUGCUUUAAUGGAAAUAACCAGGUUUACAUUCCAAAUGCAGGUUACCCAGAAAAAUGAUCAAGUAAGAAAUAUACAAUGCCAAUUAAAAUAACUUGUCAAAACUUG
ensembl:antisense Man2c1os mannosidase, alpha, class 2C, member 1, opposite strand